UGCAGUUCCUCUGCUGUCAUUGGCCGUCCGGACCGCUCAACAUCCGCGGGGAUUGGACAGACGUCGCCCAACCCCUGCUCGCUUCUGCCACGUCAUCCGGGGGAGGAGUAUAAAGGCUGAGCACGGACAACAGUCGGGAGGCUCUGUAUUUUGUGUCAGAUGCCUCAACCCUAUCCUUGUGAUAAGCCUUCAUUCUGUGAAUUCUGAGAUUUAGCGUGUGUCUUUGGUAUUAGCUCCACUGAUUAGCAGUGUCUAUAGUAGGGUUCUAGGCGAGCACACUGAGUAGCAGUGUGUCGUCGGGUUCUGUGUUAGCGUAGGGAUUUUGUGUGUGUGUAUACUGCUUAGAUCCAGGUUGAUUAGCACCUGUAGACCAGCGUUCCUGUGAGUGGAUAUUGCGUAGAGCCAGGUGAUUAGCACCUGUAGACCCGCACCAGCUGUGUGUUUCCACAGUCCCGUUUUGUUUAUUGCUUGUUUCCACUUGAGUAGUGAGAUUUGUUUUUCUUUCUAUAGCGGGGCAACUCUCUUUUGGAGACCCUUUGUGUUGUAUUAUAGUGACAGAUUGACCCGUGUUGUGGGGCCAAUCUGUGUGACCAUCAUUUUGCCUAGUUUCAGUGACAAUAAAACCACCGGUAACAAAUAUACCAAAUCCAA